rnacentral:rRNA from 1 species
UUUCCUACGGGGGGCAGCAGUGGGGAAUAUUGGGCAAUGGGCGCAAGCCUGACCCAGCAACGCCGCGUGAAGGAAGAAGGCUUUCGGGUUGUAAACUUCUUUUCUCAGGGACGAAGAAAGUGACGGUACCUGAGGAAUAAGCCACGGCUAACUACGUGCCAGCAGCCGCGGUAAUACGUAGGUGGCAAGCGUUAUCCGGAUUUACUGGGUGUAAAGGGCGUGUAGGCGGGACUGCAAGUCAGAUGUGAAAACCAUGGGCUCAACCCAUGGCCUGCAUUUGAAACUGUAGUUCUUGAGUGUUGGAG